AGACAGAGCAAAGAGAAAAAGGAAAGCUGAACUGUGCUGGAAAAAGACCAUGGCUCAAACAUUAGAGAGCCAGAGUCAUUUUAUCAAUAAGUACAUAGAUCUGCUCACGCAGGAUUCAGAGGAUCUGGACGCCUCAGCCUCUACAUCAGCAGAGCAUAGGUACCUAAGCAUGCUCGUAGUGACGCAGCGUUCUUAAUAAGUCAACUUGUAUUGUAUUCUCAAUAUCCAGUCAGUACAUUUAUGUCAGUAAAUGCAUGCAUCAACACUUCCUUGACUUUGCUGAGCAGUUGUCUGUUCUUUGUCCUAAAAGUUCUUGCAUAUAAUGGUGGUCUUCACAUAACAUAAGUAAAUUCCCAUCCUUAAACUCUUUAUCUUGCAUAUUCAUUUCGAGCAUUUUCUGUUGGGGUAAAUGAGUAGAGAGGAUCCUAGGCCAUUUUUAGCAAUUUCCUGGUGAGUAAAAAAAGAUGAACCCAUUUAUUCAACAUUGAUUAUUUUAACAAAUUCAGAGGGACCUUAACAUAAAAUUACGGUUAUAGUGUACUUGUAACCAUCCGUCUCUGCUUGGUACAGCCCCAGUUCAUGUGACGGUGCUCUGGUGUGUGUGGGACCUCGUCAUUGGCGUGCCAGAGGAGGAGAGAAGAGGCAGAUGGAGAUGUGUAUCCUGUGUCACGAAGCGCAGGAGAUCCUACCUGAUGGCGCCGUCAUGGUGCUCGCUGCCUUUGUCCAACGCUCUACGGUCAUGUCCGAGAACCGCAAAAGACCCCCUCACAAUCCAGGUAAGGUUAUGGUUUACAGUGUGCAAGUCAAGUAAUUGGAUAGGUUUGAGUAGCCAGUGUGCUUAUUUCUGGAGGAUACAUGUGUGUUCCAGAGAGCUGUGAUCCCCUCUUCAUGCACCCUGACCUGUCCUUUGGUACCCAUACCGGCAGCUGUGGCCACAUCAUGCACUCUCACUGCUGGCAGAGAUACUUUGAGACACUCCAGAGUCAGGAUGCGCAGUGGCUGCAUGAGCAAACCAGUUACGAUGUAGAGAAUGGGGAGUACUUGUGUCCACUCUUUACAGCAAUAGUGAGCAGCCAGGUCUGGCUCAUUGGCUGAAUACAACGUAUAUAAGCAGAUCAGAGCCUUGCACUCUGCUCAUAAGAGAGCCAAGCCAACAAAUGCUGGUGAGACAGAGACUGUGGAGGACUCUCCUCCUCCUGAGAGUUUCAGGCUGGACCACACACCAGUCAACCCUUAUUCAAGCUCCAUAAGGGAGAUGCUGAUGACAUUUGGGACCGCCACUUAUAAAGUUGGCCUUAAGGUGCACCCUAAUGAGCAGGACCCCCGUGUGCCUAUUAUGUGCUGGGGUAGCUGUUCUUACACCAUCCAGUCUAUAGAGAGAUUAUUGGUAGAUGAGGAGAAGCCUUUGUUUGGAAGUUUACCCUGUAGACAGGUAUGACAACCCAACUUAUUGUCAUAUCUCAGCCCAGCCAGGACUCGGUUUCCCGAGAAGCAACACGGUAUUCUACUGUGUUUAUUCGAUAAGUGACUUUGGCCUUUGCUUACGUCCCCGACCACGAUUUCUGUCUUACCCCGUUUGUUUUGUUUGCAUUAUCGCCUGACCCUCGCUUGCUUCUUGACUACGGACUGUGCUCACCCCUCUGGAUUAUACUGCUAUCCUCAUCUGGGUAACAACAGACAGUGUGAAAAAGUUCAUUAUGGAUUUAUAUGAAGUCUGUAUGGCGUUAGGAGCAGCCGUAGUCCCAGCAGUCUGGAAUUAAGGAAGAUUUGAGCUCCAUCCAGAGGCAGAAAGGAUCUGGAUCUCUAGUAUCUCCAUAAAUUUGUGUGGGGCUCGGCGAAAGGAGAGAGGGAGAAAAAAGAUAAUUAUGACUGCGAAGUAGUAGAACAGAAUCUAGUCAGGGUAGGCUUGAGUAAACAAAUAUGUUUUAAGCCUAGACUGAAACACUGAGACUGUGUCUGAGU